rnacentral:snoRNA from 1 species
UCUCCUGUGAUUAUAAACUUUUAAAAUUACCAAUUGUUCCGACUGAAUAGUGGGAUCACUACGUGUCGACAACCUUUAUAUCGUUAAGUUUCAGCCUUGUAUGAGGUUA